rnacentral:misc_RNA from 1 species
GUGAGUCAUCGAAUCUUUGAACGCACAUGGCGCCUUCCAGUAUCCUGGGAGGCAUGCCUGUCCGAGCGUCGUUUCAACCCUCGAGCCCUCGUGGCCCGGCGUUGGGGAUCUGCCACGGCAGGCCCCGAAAUCCAGUGGCGGACCCGUUAGGCCCUUCCUUUGCGUAGUAGCAUCAGCCUCGCAUCGGGAGCCGGCGGGCUCUCCAGCCUCUAAACCCCCCAACAAGCCCGCUCCGGCGGCACCAAGGUUGACCUCGGAUCAGGUAGGAAUACCCGCUGAACUUAAGCAUAUCAAUAAGCGGAGGA